rnacentral:rRNA from 1 species
GUAGGUGGCAAGCGUUGUCCGGAAUUAUUGGGUGUAAAGCGCGCGCAGGCGGUUCUUUAAGUCUGAUGUGAAAGCCCACGGCUCAACCGUGGAGGGUCAUUGGAAACUGGAGAACUUGAGUACAGAAGAGGAAAGCGGAAUUCCACGUGUAGCGGUGAAAUGCGUAGAGAUGUGGAGGAACACCAGUGGCGAAGGCGGCUUUCUGGUCUGUAACUGACGCUGAGGCGCGAAAGCGUGGGGAGCAAACAGGGAUUAGAUACCCUGGUAGUCCACGCCGUAAACGAUGAGUGCUAAGUGUUAGGGGGUUUCCGCCCCCUUAGUGCUGCAGCUAACGCAUUAAGCACUCCGCCUGGGGAGUACGGCCGCAAGGCUG